rnacentral:tRNA from 1 species
GCUCUUUUCAUCCAAUAGGUAAGGAUGCACGACUUAUAAUCGUGUCAUAGAGGUUCAAGUCCCCUAGAGAGCA